UGGAAAUGAUGAAAUAGAGAUAAUUGGAUGUAAUUUUGAAUGAGGUAUGUGUGGUAAAUGGGAUGGGGGUGGGGGAUGAGGGGUGGGGAGUGUGUGUGUGCGCAUGUUAGAAAGGCUUGGAAUGGGGGCACUGAUGUGCAGUGCUGAUCUCCGGAGUGCAUCUGAGGUGUGUUGGGAGCUCUGGGCUGUCACCUGCCAACAUCACCAAUGAUUAGAGCCCAAAACAAGCCCACCAAGACAAGCCUAGGCAUCCUAAAUCUCUGACAGGGUCAGUCGUGAACUGAUCCUGUGAUCUGAUCUGA
rnacentral:snoRNA from 1 species